GAUGAACGCUGGCGGCGUGCCUAAUACAUGCAAGUCGAGCGAACGGACGAGAAGCUUGCUUCUCUGAUGUUAGCGGCGGACGGGUGAGUAACACGUGUAUAACCUACCUAUAAGACUGGGAUAACUUCGGGAAACCGGAGCUAAUACCGGAUAAUAUUUUGAACCGCAUGGUUCAAAAGUGAAAGACGGUCUUUCUGUCACUUAUAGAUGGAUCCGCGCUGCAUUAGCUAGUUGGUAAGUUAACGGCUUACCAAGGCAACGAUGCAUAGCCGACGUGAGAGGGUGAUCGGCCACACUGGAACUGAGACACGGUCCAGACUACUACGGGAGGCAGCAGUAGGGAAUCUUCCGCAAUGGGCGAAAGCCUGACGGAGCAACGCCGCGUGAGUGAUGAAGGUCUUCGGAUCGUAAAACUCUGUUAUUAGGGAAGAACAUAUGUGUAAGUAACUGUGCACAUCUUGACGGUAACUAAUCAGAAAGCCACGGCUAACUACGUG
rnacentral:rRNA from 1 species